ensembl:snRNA U6 U6 spliceosomal RNA
GUGCUGGCUUGGGUAGCACAUAUGCUAAAAUCGGACAGAUACAGAUUAGCAUGGCUCCUGCACAAAGAGGACACACAAAUUUGUGAAGCAUUCCAUAUUUUC